rnacentral:rRNA from 1 species
CCUCCGGGUGGCAGCAGUGGGGAAUAUUGCACAAUGGGGGAAACCCUGAUGCAGCGACGCCGCGUGAGUGAAGAAGUAAUUCGUUAUGUAAAGCUCUAUCAGCAGGGAAGAAAAUGACGGUACCUGAGUAAGAAGCCCCGGCUAACUACGUGCCAGCAGCCGCGGUAAUACGUAGGUGGCAAGCGUUAUCCGGAUUUACUGGGGGUAAAGGGCGCGUAGGCGGGGCUGCAAGUCAGAUGUGAAAGCCAUGGGCUCAACCCAUGGCCUGCAGUUGAAACUGGAGUUCUUGAGUGUUGGAGGGGCAGGCGGAAUUCAGGGUGUAGCGGUGAAAUGCGUAGAUAUAAGGAGGAACACCGGUGGCGAAGGCGGCCUGCUGGACAGUAACUGACGCUGAGGCGCGAAAGCGUGGGGAGCAAACAGGAUUAGAUACCCCAGUAGUC